rnacentral:rRNA from 1 species
GGAUUAGAUACCCUGGUAGUCCAUGCCGUAAACGUUGGGCACUAGGUGUGGGGGACAUUCCACGUUUUCCGCGCCGUAGCUAACGCAUUAAGUGCCCCGCCUGGGGAGUACGGCCGCAAGGCUAAAACUCAAAGGAAUUGACGGGGGCCCGCACAAGCGGCGGAGCAUGCGGAUUAAUUCGAUGCAACGCGAAGAACCUUACCAAGGCUUGACAUGAACCGGAAAGACCUGGAAACAGGUGCCCCGCUUGCGGUCGGUUUACAGGUGGUGCAUGGUUGUCGUCAGCUCGUGCC